GCACCCUUGGUGUAGUGUUAACACACAUCCUGUUUGUUAAACGAGAGAGGAACAUUACGGAUUAGUUCGGGGUUCGACUCCCCGAGGACACA